UACAGAGGGGGCAAGCGUUGUUCGGAAUUACUGGGCGUAAAGGGCGCGUAGGCGGCCGCCUAAGUCAGACGUGAAAUCCCGGGGCUCAACCCCGGAACGGCCUUUGAUACUGGGUGUCUUGAGUUCGGAAGAGGUGAGUGGAAUUGCGAGUGUAGAGGUGAAAUUCGUAGAUAUUCGCAGGAACACCAGUGGCGAAGGCGGCUCACUGGUCCGACACUGACGCUGAGGUGCGAAAGCGUGGGGAGCAAACAGG
rnacentral:rRNA from 1 species